rnacentral:rRNA from 1 species
UACGAGGGGUCCUAGCGUUGUUCGGAAUCAUUGGGCGUAAAGGGUGCGUAGGUGGCCAUGCAAGUCAGUUGUGAAAUCCCCGGGCUCAACCCGGGAAGUGCUUCUGAUACUGUUUGGCUUGAGUACUGGAGAGGAUAGUAGAAUUCCAGGUGUAGUGGUGAAAUACGUAGAUAUCUGGAGGAAUACCGGUGGCGAAGGCGGCAUCCUGGACCAUUACUGACGCUGAGGCGCGAAAGCUAGGGGAGCAAACGGG